rnacentral:rRNA from 1 species
GACGAACGCUGGCGGCGCGCCUAACACAUGCAAGUCGAACGGAGCUGAGAGAAGCUUGCUUUUCUUAGCUUAGUGGCGAACGGGUGAGUAACGCGUGUGUAACCUGCCCUGGAGUGGGGGACAACAGUUGGAAACGACUGCUAAUACCGCAUAAGCUCACGAUCCGGCAUCGGGUUGGGGGAAAAGGAUUUAUUCGCUUCAGGAUGGACGCGCGUCCAAUUAUCUAGUUGGUGGGGUAACGGCCCACCAAGGCGACGAUGGGUAGCCGGACGGGGAGGUUGAACGGCCACAUUGGGACUGAGACACGGCCCAGACUCCUACGGGAGGGAGGAGUGGGGGAUAUUGCACGAUGGGGGAAGCCCUGAUGACGCGGCGUCGCGUGGAGGAAGAAGGUUUUCGGAUUGUAAACUCCUGUCGUAAGGGACGAUAAUGACGGUACCUAACAAGAAAGCACCGGCUAACUACGUG